GAUGAACGCUGGCGGCGUGCUUAACACAUGCAAGUCGAACGGGAAACCUUUUAUUGAAGCUUCGGCAGAUUUAGCUGGUUUCUAGUGGCGGACGGGUGAGUAACGCGUGGGUAACCUGCCUUAUACAGGGGGAUAACAACCAGAAAUGGUUGCUAAUACCGCAUAAGCGCACAGGACCGCAUGGUCCAGUGUGAAAAACUCCGGUGGUAUAAGAUGGACCCGCGUUGGAUUAGCUAGUUGGCAGGGUAACGGCCUACCAAGGCGACGAUCCAUAGCCGGCCUGAGAGGGUGAACGGCCACAUUGGGACUGAGACACGGCCCAGACUCCUACGGGAGGCAGCAGUGGGGAAUAUUGCACAAUGGGGGAAACCCUGAUGCAGCGACGCCGCGUGAAGGAAGAAGUAUCUCGGUAUGUAAACUUCUAUCAGCAGGGAAGAUAGUGACG
rnacentral:rRNA from 1 species